ACCCAGAGAUAACCCUUUGGAACAAAGCAGCUCUCCAGGCAAAUAAGUUGAAAGAGACUCGAGCUGGGAGAGUUAUUUUGAAGUUACUUCGUUAGGAGCACGUUGUACGCGGUCAAGUCAUACAAUCAUGAGGAACUUCCUCGUUAUUCUCUUGGUAGUACUGUUAGCUGUGGCUACCGAGUGCAGCCCUGCUAGACGACCGAAACGUCAAACUCACCUUCGCGACUUCCACAACCAUUGCUUCCCCAACCGCCACCUUUGUCUGAAAGGACACCAUCAUCUGUGCUGUUCAGGGUACUGUGGUAUGAUCCAUGUCGGACCUGGAAGCAUUACCGCAAUAAAUCAGAUGACACACGGAAGAUGCAUGGCUCGGACGCACUCAGACAAAGAUCACCACCCUAACAAGAAGCAACAGACUGCUCUUGAAGCAAUCAGUGGAUGAUGGACCAACUAGCGUGGACGAUACUGGUCGAUAACCGAGGGUAUCAAAGACCGACCGUAAACCGGACAAACCAUAUCUAAACAACAUUAUAUAUUCUAAAAUUCAUUGUUUUUUUAAGAUAUGUUUUUGUAGCUUUUUUCCAUUGCAUUAUUAAUGCAUUUAGGUUUUCUGCAGUUACUUAACUCUUUUUGGCUUAUACUUGUUCUUUAUAUAUGCUAGAAAAUCUGAAGCUUAUUCAUUAGAGCAUCAUUGAAUACAGGUCUUUAGUGAUAUUUAUGGAAGAAGCAUUUCCCUAGCGAAGCAAGCACAAACACAAACGCAGUAAUCAAAUGCGUCCGAAUCUUGUCCAUGAAAACAGACAAAACCAACAAACAACAUUUUCGUUUCUGUUGUUCCAGGUUGCGCUAAGGUUUGCGUCGCUGAUAAAAUUAUACAAGCGCGUUGACCAAUUUUCGUCUAGGGGUGCUUACCGGAAAACUGCUAAUUCCGGUUGGAAAACAAGUGGUAUGGCUUCAUCGAGUUCAACUUGAUCUUCCAAUUGAGGUGAUCCAUCUUCCCGCCCUUUUCGGUUCUUCCGGUAGACGCGUGUACCAUUUGUCAUAAGCCAAAGUUUCCCGCCCUUUUUCUUACCAUAGCAAACGAAUUUCCAAUCGAAUGGAUUGGUUCAAAUAGUAAGCACUCCAGCUAGAUGUUACCAUGAUCAGUGAAAACAAACUACAUGUGCGCUUCUCGCAAUACUAGCUUCCAUUUGUUUGCUUGUUUGCUUGCUAUUGCUUGCGUCGCUAGUGGAACGUUUCUUAAACUUAUGCUACAGCCUGAGCUGAGAAUUUAUUGACUUGCGCAUGCGUUUCAAAACGGAUGCAGCUGCCUUUUUCACAUUGCAUUUUAAAUUUGUUAUUUUGGUUAAGUGAAAUAAAAAUAAUAUCGAUCCUUCAGCAUCAUGGAA